AACGGACGCCUUAACCGACUGAGCCACUCCGACGCCCGUGGCAGGCCUCCCACUCUCCUUGCCUGCAGAACUCGAGCCACUGGCUUCACGCACCGCAGAGAUGCCCACACCUCUCGACUGCCCAUCCAGCUCGGCCUUCUCUGAGCCCCGUUACUGUGGGGCCACGGUGAGCGCAGUCCUUCCCCAAACCUGCUGUCGGCAGUCACGUUACCAGUUCUCAUCAGGUGGCAGGUCUCCUGACCAGUCCAGCGCCCAGCUGCCAAUUCAGCCCAUUGUUUCUGUCCCCGGCAGUGACUUCUCCAAAGAAAGACCUAGGACUCUGGGGGCGGUAAGAAGGCUGGGCCUCAACGCCUCCAGAGCACCAGGGUUGGGCGUGAGAAAUCCUGUGGCUUUGCAUAACUCCCUUCUGCCUACAUCUCCUUUUCUCCUGGUCUGCUUGGCUCAUCCUCAGAGCUCACACCAGCCCUCUUGCUGCCCAUCCCCACUCCCCAGCCGGUCAAGUGCCACUCUUUUGGACUCUCCAAAUGAUCCCGUGGCCCCACAUACUGUUUAUAAAUUUGCAGUUUGUUUCCCCAUGAGGCGCUCGCUCCUGAAGGGCAGGAAAGAUCUUUACUUCUUUUUGCCAGACCCACAGGGUCAGUAAGCCCGGAAUAAGCAGAGAACCACGUGCAGAACAAAGCAGAAGCUGGAGGGCAGGUGGCUAACCUUGGAGAGUGGUGUACUGCAAACCAGACGUUUGCUGAGAAUCCCUGCCGUCUGCUGAGCCUGCGCGAACUUACCCUCAAUCCUUCCAGACGAGACAGCAUUGUCACUGCCCUCAUCAUGGACAGAAGACAGGCUCAGUGAGAGGAGCCACGUGGCCCGAGGCCACGCUGAGUGAGCUGUAGGGGCCGCAGCUGCAGCUCGGACCGUGGAACGAGAGCCAGAGGCCAGAAGUCCGAGCCUGGCAGGGACACGCAAGGGAAAGAACGCGUUCCCUCCGUGCCUGCGCGACCUCCUCCUGUGAGCCUGCGGGUCAGGCUGCAUCUCUGGGGUUUGACUUCUAACGAUCUAAAAGUUUUUUUUGUUUUUUUUUUUUAGAGUUUGGCUUUUUAUAGAACAUGUUACAAAAAAGGUUUAGUCAGAGACCAAA